CACAUGUCCGCGUCUCCUUUAUCGAUUGGGCGGUUAGUUUUCAAAUUUCAAAAAGUUAGUCAAGUCUUCUCUCUCGCAACCGCACCCUUUGCUUUCCCAAUCUUGGUUUCCAUCCUACUUCUUUCCUUUUUCCCAAAAACCCUGUUUAUUCUUCUGCUUCCAUUCAUCUUCUCAUCUGAUUAUCUCUCCUCUUGCUUCAAUUUGUCUGCAAUUCACAGCGAUUAUGAAACUUUCAUCUUUUCGGAUUUACAGAAUCACGCUGGAAAUGCCCCCCGAACUGUCUCAAGCUCCUAUUUAGACAUGCUUAAAAAUCGGUUGUCUUCCCUUCAAGCCCAAUACUCUGCUCAUGAAGACACGGAUAAAUCCAGCAAAGCAAGCACCCGCCGAGCAAGCGAAGCAAAACCCACCCCUGUAUCGAUUGAGGAGCUGUCCGUUAAGAAGGCUGCCGAGAAGAAGAGGGAUGCCCCCAAGCCUUCUCUUGAGCAGAAGGGCAAGAGUGACGUAAGAUGAAAAAGAGUUCGUAGGGUCUAGAUUAAAACGACCACUGAUACUGUCACUGCUGGGAAGGAGAACAAGGGGGCCAAGCCUACUGCAGUCGAGAGGGAGAAGAAAACAAUUGAAUCUGGCCCUCCAGGAACAUCAAAGGGUAAAGCUGUCGAGCAAACUAGUAUAGGCCCAAAAACUGUGUCUAAGACCAUAACCUCCGAGCCUCUCAUCAGAACUCAAGCUAAAGAAUGGUCGGGCCAUGCGCAGCCCGCUGAAAGUGCUCAUCCUUACACCUCCAGCAGCUGCGACAAAGAAAUAACCGCGCUAGAGUGGGUGACAAAAGAAGACCUAGUGGAAUUUCCAAAGGAUUGGAUUAAUUCGAAGAAUACUCAUUGGGCGAGAAACUAUCCUCAAGUCAUUGGCCAAGCCAGCUCGCUACUCUAUACACCGGGAACCAAAAAUUUCUUCGAAUCGAAGGAUGAAACUCGUUUCUUUUCAGUUGCCAAAGCCAUUACACUACAGGCAAAUACCGUGAUUUCUCAUGCGGAAAUGCUCUGUCAGAAAUAUAAGGCUAAGCUUUGUCGGGCAAAUGAGGCGCUGAAAAAGGUGGAAUCCGAGCUAUUGGCAACAAAGGAAACCCUUGCACAGAAGGAACUUGAAGUAAAUAGUCUGGAUAGGAACUGGUCGAUCUUUGAAAAAUUGAAGAGAAAAUUGAAGCUUGGAGAAAAAGGUUGACCAGUAUCCAAAGUUCCAGACCUUUCACUUGGUGACUUGUUUGCUCAGCUCAAAAAGGCCAUGAACGGGUUUGUGAAAGAUAUCCCAGAACUGAACUGAUCUUUGAUCUUCCAAGUUAACUGCUCUGGAAGAGAAUGAGAGGUCAUUUGCUGCCCGGCUUAAGCGGGAGAGAGAGGAAGCUGUGGAAGAAUAUAAGCAAUCGGCCAAUUUGGAAGAGCUGAUAAAUCUCAGAAUCAAGGAGUAUCAAAAGACGCCCGCCUUUGAUAAGCUUGUGGACGAUCGCAUCGAGGAAUACCUAGACGGUGAGGAACACCAAUAGGAUUUGGAAUGAUUAGAAAAUGAGCAGUAUCAAAGGCUGGGCAUCGACUUAGUGGUUGAGUUGAUUCAAGCUGGCGAUAGUGUGGAAAAAUUAGUGCGGUAAAGGCCAUUUGUCGAUCAAUGGUCGCUCCUGUGCCUCAACUCGGGCAAUCCGCUUCUCAGGAAGAAAUGAACGAUGACUCAGAUGAGAACGGAGAAGAUGAGCCGGCAACAGGUGAGUCUCCAGUUACCGCUCAAGCUCAAGAAAAUAUUGCCCUUCCUGAGGAUACUGCUCCACUGGCACACACUGGGGAUGGAGGAGACGUGAUUGCACAGCCCGAGCAGUCAUCUAGGGAAGACGUGCAAAAUACUGAAAGUCCUCAGAGCCCGCCAAUCAAUAGUGAUUAUUUCGAUCCGAACCAGUUUAUCAAGAUAUGCCAUUGUCACUAUUUUUUUCCCCUUCUUUCCAAUUUUCAAGACUUAUAAACUUGUGUUCCCAUUUUAGAUGGCACUUUGGUCGAUUACGAGAUCGGAAGUUUGUAAAAAUUUAUCCGAUACUUUAUUGUGCUUGCUGAGAUUAACGUCCAUUGGGCAGACGGAGCAUCAAACUUUCUAAGAAUGUCAACUUUCCAUGA